rfam:Danio rerio chromosome 9, GRCz11 reference primary assembly.
GCCGGCAGCUAGCUCUCUGCAACUCUCACAUGGUCGCCCACUGAAGCUAAGCAGGGCUGCGCCUGGUCAGUACCUGGAUGGGAGACCACAUGGGAAAGCUAGGCUGCUGACGGAA